GUGCUCUCAUCAACCACAUAUGUACUAAAAUUAGAAUGAUACAGAGAAGAUUAGCAUGCCCCCUGUGCAAGGAUAACACACAAACUUAUGAAGCACUUUCUCUGUAC